CCUACGGGAGGCAGCAGUGAGGAAUAUUGGUCAAUGGGCGGGAGCCUGAACCAGCCAAGUCGCGUGAGGGAAGACGGUCCUAUGGAUUGUAAACCUCUUUAGGCGGGGAGCAAUGCCGGGCACGCGUGCCCGGAGGGAGAGUACCCGCAGAAUAAGCAUCGGCUAACUCCGUGCCAGCAGCCGCGGUAAUACGGAGGACGCGAGCUGUAUCCGGAUUUAGUGGGUUUAAAGGGUGCGUAGGCGGAUUUUUAAGUCAGCGGUAAAAUGGUCGGGCUCAACCCGGUCCGGCCGUUGACACUGGGGAUCUUGAGUGGGCGAGAGGUAUGCGGAAUGCGUGGUGUAGCGGUGAAAUGCAUAGAUAUCACGCAGAACUCCGAUUGCGAAGGCAGCAUACCGGCGCCCAACUGACGCUGAGGCACGAAAGCGUGGGGAUCGAACAGGAUUAGAUACCCCUGUAGUC
rnacentral:rRNA from 1 species